UGCGUAGGCGGUUCGGUAAGUCUUAUGUGAAAUCUUCAGGCUCAACUUGAAGUCUGCAUGAGAAACUGCCGGGCUUGAGUGUGGGAGAGGUGAGUGGAAUUUCCGGUGUAGCGGUGAAAUGCGUAGAUAUCGGAAGGAACACCUGUGGCGAAAGCGGCUCACUGGACCAUAAUUGACGCUGAUGCACGAAAGCUAGGGGAGCAAACAGGAUUAGAUACCCUGGUAGUCCUAGCCCUAAACGAUGAUCGCUUGGUGUGACGGGUACCCAAUCCCGCCGUGCCGAAGCUAACGCGUUAAGCGAUCCGCCUGGGGAGUACGGUCGCAAGGCUGAA
rnacentral:rRNA from 1 species